GACGAACGCUGGCGGCGUGCCUAAUACAUGCAAGUAGAACGCUGAAGGAGGAGCUUGCUCUUCUGGAUGAGUUGCGAACGGGUGAGUAACGCGUAGGUAACCUGCCUGGUAGCGGGGGAUAACUAUUGGAAACGAUAGCUAAUACCGCAUAAGAGUAGAUGUUGCAUGACAUUUGCUUAAAAGGUGCAAUUGCAUCACUACCAGAUGGACCUGCGUUGUAUUAGCUAGUUGGUGGGGUAACGGCUCACCAAGGCGACGAUACAUAGCCGACCUGGGAGGGUGAUCGGCCACACUGGGACUGAGACACGGCCCAGACUCCUACGGGAGGCAGCAGUAGGGAAUCUUCGGCAAUGGACGGAAGUCUGACCGAGCAACGCCGCGUGAGUGAAGAAGGUUUUCGGAUCGUAAAGCUCUGUUGUAAGAGAAGAACGAGUGUGAGAGUGGAAAGUUCACACUGUGACGGUAUCUUACCAGAAAGGGACGGCUAACUACGU
rnacentral:rRNA from 1 species